rnacentral:rRNA from 1 species
CCUACGGGUGGCAGCAGUGAGGAAUAUUGGUCAAUGGACGAGAGUCUGAACCAGCCAAGUAGCGUGAAGGAUGACUGCCCUAUGGGUUGUAAACUUCUUUUAUAUGGGAAUAAAAUGUUCCACGUGUGGGAUUUUGUAUGUACCAUAUGAAUAAGGAUCGGCUAACUCCGUGCCAGCAGCCGCGGUAAUACGGAGGAUCCGAGCGUUAUCCGGAUUUAUUGGGUUUGAAGGGAGCGUAGGUGGAUUGUUAAGUCAGUUGUGAAAGUUUGCGGCUCAACCGUAAAAUUGCAGUUGAAAAUGGCAGGCUUGAGUACAGUAGAGGUGGGCGGAAUUCGGGGUGUAGCGGUGAAAUGCUUAGAUAUCACGAAGAACUCCGAUUGCGAAGGCAGCUCACUGGACUGCAACUGACACUGAGGCUCGAAAGUGUGGGUAUCAAACAGGAUUAGAUACCCCGGUAGUC